CCGUCGUGGGCGUAGGAAAUUUGAGAGGAGCUGUCCUUAGUACGAGAGGACCGGGAUGGACGCACCGCUGGUGUACCAGUUGUUCUGCCAAGGGCAUAGCUGGGUAGCUAUGUGCGGAAGGGAUAAGUGCUGAAAGCAUCUAAGCAUGAAGCCCCCCUCAAGAUGAGAUUUCCCAUAGCGUAAGCUAGUAAGAUCCCUGAAAGAUGAUCAGGUUGAUAGGUUCGAGGUGGAAGCAUGGUGACAUGUGGAGCUGACGAAUACUAAUAGAUCGAGGACUUAACCAUAUAA
rnacentral:rRNA from 1 species